AUGAACGCUAGCGGCAGGCUUAACACAUGCAAGUCGAGGGGUAUAGUAGCAAUACUAGAGACCGGCGCACGGGUGCGUAACGCGUAUGCAAUCUACCUUUUACAAAGGGAUAGCCCAGAGAAAUUUGGAUUAAUACCUUAUAGAAUAUUUGAGUGGCAUCAUUUAAAUAUUAAAGAUUUAUCGGUAAAAGAUGAGCAUGCGUCCCAUUAGCUAGUUGGUAUGGUAACGGCAUACCAAGGCGACGAUGGGUAGGGGUCCUGAGAGGGAGAUCCCCCACACUGGUACUGAGACACGGACCAGACUCCUACGGGAGGCAGCAGUGAGGAAUAUUGGUCAAUGGGCGCAAGCCUGAACCAGCCAUGCCGCGUGCAGGAAGACGGUCCUAUGGAUUGUAAACUGCUUUUAUACGAGAAGAAACACUACCUUGCGAGGUAGCUUGACGGUAUCGUAAGAAUAAGGAUCGGCUAACUCCGU
rnacentral:rRNA from 1 species